CAGAAUCUCAGCCUCAGGAGGAACUAGUACCAGCAAGAAAAGCAAACAUGGGUGGAGCUGAAUCAACGCCACCCUCACCAAAGAAGGAAUUUGACCAACAAUGGAGGAACACAUGUUGGAGGUAAGUACUGUACUGACUGACCAAUAUGGAGGAACACAUGUUGGAGGUAAGUACUGUACUGACUGACCAACAAUGGAGGAACACAUGUUGGAGGUAAGUACUGUACUGACUGACCAACAAUGGAGGAACACAUGUUGGAGGUAAGUACUGUACUGACUGACCAACAAUGGAGGAACACAUGUUGGAGGUAAGUACUGUACUGACUGACCAACAAUGGAGGAACACAUGUUGGAGGUAAGUACUGUACUGACUGACCAAUAUGGAGGAACACAUGUUGGAGGUAAGUACUGUACUGACUGACCAAUAUGGAGGAACACAUGUUGGAGGUAAGUACUGUACUGACUGACCAAUAUGGAGGAACACAUGUUGGAGGUAAGUACUGUACUGACUGACCAACAAUGGAGGAACACAUGUUGGAGGUAAGUACUGUACUGACUGACCAACAAUGGAGGAACACAUGUUGGAGGUAAGUACUGUACUGACUGACCAACAAUGGAGGAACACAUGUUGGAGGUAAGUACUGUACUGACUGACCAACAAUGGAGGAACACAUGUUGGAGGUAAGUACUGUACUGACUGACCAAUAUGGAGGAACACAUGUUGGAGUUAAGUACUGUACUGACUGACCAAUAUGGAGGAUGAAGGAGAAAGUCAAACAAACAUUUAGGUUAUAAUUACAAUCACUAUCAAGGGUUGUGUUGUGUGAAUGGUGUACUAUACUAAAAUGCUGUAAAAAAAUAGUGUUAUCUUGAUAACAUUUCCCAUGAACAUAAUUAUAAGCAGUCUAUGGCCACUGUUUAAAAAUGAUAAAUGUUUAGCAUUUGUGGCACAAGUCAAUUGCAAGUCAAUGGUACUGAAAUUAGCAUUUUCCACGCUUCAUGUCCAAAUCACCUAUAAGUAACUUAAUUGAGCUACUCAGUCAAUUUGAAAUACUUUAGGAUGAUUCGGACAUGAAU